rnacentral:rRNA from 1 species
UACGUAGGGUGCGAGCGUUAAUCGGAAUUACUGGGCGUAAAGCGUGCGCAGGCGGUUUGCUAAGACCGAUGUGAAAUCCCCGGGCUUAACCUGGGAACUGCAUUGGUGACUGGCAGGCUAGAGUAUGGCAGAGGGGGGUAGAAUUCCACGUGUAGCAGUGAAAUGCGUAGAGAUGUGGAGGAAUACCGAUGGCGAAGGCAGCCCCCUGGGCCCAAUACUGACG